rnacentral:rRNA from 1 species
CGUGGGUAACCUGCCUGUAAGACUGGGAUAACUCCGGGAAACCGGGGCUAAUACCGGAUGGUUGUUUGAACCGCAUGGUUCAAACAUAAAAGGUGGCUUCGGCUACCACUUACAGAUGGACCCGCGGCGCAUUAGCUAGUUGGUGAGGUAACGGCUCACCAAGGCAACGAUGCGUAGCCGACCUGAGAGGGUGAUCGGCCACACUGGGACUGAGACACGGCCCAGACUCCUACGGGAGGCAGCAGUAGGGAAUCUUCCGCAAUGGACGAAAGUCUGACGGAGCAACGCCGCGUGAGUGAUGAAGGUUUUCGGAUCGUAAAGCUCUGUUGUUAGGGAAGAACAAGUACCGUUCGAAUAGGGCGGUACCUUGACGGUACCUAACCAGAAAGCCACGGCUAACUACGUGCCAGCAGCCGCGGUAAUACGUAGGUGGCAAGCGUUGUCCGGAAUUAUUGGGCGUAAAGGGCUCGCAGGCGGUUUCUUAAGUCUGAUGUGAAAGCCCCCGGCUCAACCGGGGAGGGUCAUUGGAAACUGGGGAACUUGAGUGCAGAAGAGGAGAGUGGAAUUCCACGUGUAGCGGUGAAAUGCGUAGAGAUGUGGAGGAACACCAGUGGCGAAGGCGACUCUCUGGUCUGUAACUGACGCUGAGGAGCGAAAGCGUGGGGAGCGAACAGGAUUAGAUACCCUGGUAGUCCACC